rnacentral:tRNA from 1 species
GCCCGGCUAGCUCAGUUGGUAGAACAUGGGACUCUUAAUCCCAGGGCAUGGGUUCAUGCCCCACGUUGGGCA